rnacentral:rRNA from 1 species
AGUGAACGCUGGCGGUAGGCCUAACACAUGCAAGUCGAACGGCAGCACAGUAAGAGCUUGCUCUUACGGGUGGCGAGUGGCGGACGGGUGAGGAAUACAUCGGAAUCUACUUUUUCGUGGGGGAUAACGUAGGGAAACUUACGCCAAUACCGCAUACGACCUACGGGUGAAAGCAGGGGAUCUUCGGACCUUGCGCGAUUGAAUGAGCCGAUGUCGGAUUAGCUAGUUGGCGGGGUAAAGGCCCACCAAGGCGACGAUCCGUAGCCGGUCUGAGAGGAUGAUCAGCCACACUGGAACUGAGACACGGUCCAGACUCCUACGGGAGGCAGCAGUGGGGAAUAUUGGACAAUGGGCGCAAGCCUGAUCCAGCCAUACCGCGUGGGUGAAGAAGGCCUUCGGGUUGUAAAGCCCUUUUGUUGGGAAAGAAAAGCAGCAGGUUAAUACCCCGCUGUUCUGACGGUACCCAAAGAAUAAGCACCGGCUAACUUCGUG